GCUGGGUGCGGUGGUGCACUCCUGUAAUCCCAGCAACUUGGGAGGCUGAGGCAGGAGGAUGGCAAGGCAAGGUCAGCCUCAGCAACUUAGUGAGGCUCUAAGGAACUUAGCAAGACCCUGUCUCAA
rnacentral:sRNA from 1 species